GAUGAACGCUGACAGAAUGCUUAACACAUGCAAGUCAACUGUGGCGGACGGGUGAGUAACGCGUAAAGAACUUGCCUCACAGAUCGGGACAACAUUUUGAAACGAAUGCUACUACCUGAUACUGUGAGAGAGCUUUGCUUCCCAUUAGCUAGUUGGAGAGGUAACGGCUCACCAAGGCGAUGAUUGGUAGCCGGCCUGAGAGGGUGAUCGGCCACAAGGGGACUGAGACACGGCCCUUAAUCCUACGGGAGGCAGCAGUGGGGAAUAUUGGACAAUGGACCAAAGUCUGAUCCAGCAAUGCUGUGUGCACGAUGAAGUUUUCGGAAUGUAAAGUGCUUUCAGUUGGGAAGCAGUACCAACAGAAGAAGGGACGGCUAAAUACGUGCCAGCAGCCGCGGUAAUAC
rnacentral:rRNA from 1 species